rnacentral:rRNA from 1 species
AAUGAACGCUGGCGGCGUGCCUAACACAUGCAAGUCGAACGAGAAAGGGGCCUUCGGGCCCUGAGUAAAGUGGCGAACGGGUGAGUAACGCGUAGGUAACCUGUCCUCGAGUGGGGAAUAACCUGGCGAAAGCCGGGCUAAUACCGCAUGACAUCCUCAGCUCUCCGGAGCGGAGGAUCAAAGGUGGCGAACUUCGAGUGCUGACGCUCGGAGGGGGCGGC